UUUGGGGGAACAAUGGAGUUCCUGUCCUGGAGAGGACAGGAACCCCACUAGAAGACCAACAGAGACAACUCCAUGGGGGCUAACAAAGACUGAGACAUCA